rnacentral:misc_RNA from 1 species
CCGAGUUUACAACUCCCAAACCCUUAUGUGAACCAUACCCAUCGUUGCUUCGGCGGGACCGCCCCGGCGCCUACAGCCCGGAACCAGGCGCCCGCCGGAGGCCACAAACUCCAUGUUUUUUAUACUGUAUCUUCUGAGUAACUGAAACAAUAAAUCA